UAAAAUUUAAAAAAUAAAAAAAAACAAAAUUUACUCUUACUUACCUUUACUCAUUAACCCAUCUUUUUUCAAAUAAAAUAAAAUAAUUAUUUACCUUUCUUAUCUUUAUUUAUUCCUCUUUUACCUUCGUCCUAUCAGACCCUAAAAAUUCAAAUUUAAAAAUUAAUUAAAAAAUGUAACCCGUGUCUUUUCCUGACCUUAUAAAUCAUCAUCCUUCCUUCACACGCACGCAGAGAAAGAGGAAGACAGGUAAACAGGGAAAGGACUAAGGACAGAGAUGGAAGGAGAAAAAGGUACAGUAUGCGUUACGGGUGGCGCUGGGUAUGUAGCAUCCUGGUUGAUCAUGAGGCUUCUUGAUCAUGGUUACUCUGUUCGCACCACCAUUAGAUCCAAACCAGGUAACAAACAUGACUGGCUUUUACAUGGUUAAGGGAAUAGUGCACCUAUCAAUUCUAUCUUGAACACCAACAGAAAGUGUUAAUGAUCUUUGUUUAUAUCCUAUAAGUGUUAAUAAUCUUUGUCUAAGUCCUAUAACUGCUGGUUAAUGUGUUUGAUUUCCGUGAAAAUCACAAAUUUGCUUAGUGAUGAUGGACUUUGGAGGUUAUUAAUUAAUAGCACUAUACUGCUACUUCAAUCGUAGGAUUUAGGUGUUUACUUUCAUUACUGGUGGUGUAGGGCUAGUCUUAUGCAUCGCCUAUUAUGGAAAUAGAGCUUUCAAAGCAUUCCAUUAACAAUCAAGUUCAUUAGUUCAGAGGGAUCAGGGCUAGCUAGCCUGUCGAGUUUGUGCACUGCUGACUGAUAACCAAGAUUCAACAUUUGAGUUCUCUAAUAAUUUAGGAUACGUAGCAAAUAAUUUUCCAUUUAAAGGCAAUGUUCAAUCAUCUUUAUCAUUUGUAUGAACAGAGCAGAAGAGAGAUGUAGCCUUCCUAACAAGUCUACCAGGAGCGUCUGAGAAGCUCCAAAUCUUCCAUGCAGAUCUUAGUGAUCCAGAUAGUUUUGAUGUUGCUAUUAAAGGAUGCGUUGGUGUCUUUCAUGUUGCUACUCCCACCCCUACUCACUUUAACAGCGGAGAACCUGAGGAAGUAGUUAUCAGAAAAGCAAUUGAUGGAACAGUAGGAAUCUUAAGAGUAUGCUUGAACUCAAAGACAGUGAAGCGAGUAGUAUACACUUCUAGUGCAGCAGCAGUUGAUUUUAAUUAUAAAAGUGCAGAAGUAAUGGACGAAAGUUUUUGGAGUGAUGUGGAUUACAUU
rnacentral:misc_RNA from 1 species